AGCGAACGCUGGCGGCAGGCCUAACACAUGCAAGUCGAACGAACCUUUCGGGGUUAGUGGCGGACGGGUGGGUAACACGUGGGAACGUGCCUUUAGGUUCGGAAUAACUCAGGGAAACUUGUGCUAAUACCGAAUGUGCCCUUCGGGGGAAAGAUUAAUCGCCUUUAGAGCGGCUCGCGUCUGAUUAGCUAGUUGGUUGAGGUAAUGGCUCACCAAGGCGACGAUCAGUAGCUGGUCUGAGAGGAUGAUCAGCCACAUUGGGACUGAGACACGGCCCAAACUCCUACGGGAGGCAGCAGUGGGGAAUCUUGCGCAAUGGGCGAAAGCCUGACGCAGCCAUGCCGCGUGAAUGAUGAAGGUCUUAGGAUUGUAAAAUUCUUUCACCGGGGACGAUAAUGACGGUACCCGGAGAAGAAGCCCCGGCUAACUUCGUG
rnacentral:rRNA from 1 species